rnacentral:rRNA from 1 species
UACGUAGGGGGCAAGCGUUGUCCGGAUUUAUUGGGCGUAAAGAGCGUGUAGGCGGCCAGGUAGGUCUGCUGUGAAAACUCGAGGCUUAACCUCGAGCUGUCGGCGGAAACCAUGUGGCUAGAGUCCGGAAGAGGAGAAUGGAAUUCCCGGUGUAGCGGUGAAAUGCGCAGAUAUCGGGAAGAACACCCGUGGCGAAGGCGGUUCUCUGGGACGGUACUGACGCUGAGACGCGAAAGCGUGGGGAGCGAACAGG